rnacentral:lncRNA from 1 species
AAGAUAUGUGGAAAAAAAGAGGACAGGGUUUUUUGAAACUUUUCACAAAAUAUUGUCACAAAAGAUGCCUAUUUUUUUUUAAUUUUGUGACUUUUUAUUUUUUUUUAAUUUUUUUUAUUUAUUUAUGAUAGUCACAGAGAGAGAGAGAGAGGAGAGAGAGGCAGAGACACAGGCAGAGGGAGAAGCAGGCUCCAUGCACUGGGAGCCCGAUGUGGGAUUCCUUCCCGGGUCUCCAGGAUAGCGCCCUAGGCCGAAGGCAGGCGCCAAACCGCUGCGCCACCAUGGGAUCCCAAAAGAUACCUAUAUUUAGCCAGCAUAUGUGUAGAAAAGAAGACGGGGUUUUUUUUUUUUUUUUGAAGCUUUUCACAAAAUAUUGGAACAAAAAGUACCUCUGUAUCACUAUGAUAUUAUAAAAAUGACAAGGUUAUCUGAAGCUUCUCACAAAAUAUGUCACUGUAAAUCCUGUAUUUGGCCAGCUUAUGUGUGUGAUAAAGAACAGGGUUUUUUGAAGUUUUUCACAAAAUAUUGAAACUGAAAAUACCUACAUUUUGCCACAAUAUGUAUAAACAAGAGGACAAGGGGUUUUUUUCAACCCUCUCACAAGAAGCAAUGUUAGGAGGCAUGAGGGGAAAAAAAAAACAAUGGCUUUCGUUGAGAUAAAAAACAUCCGAUUGAAAUGUUUGAGAGAAAAAAACAUCCAAUUGAGAUGUUUGAGAUAAAAAUAUCUAAUUGAGAUGUUUGAGAUAAAAAACAUCGGAUUAAAAAAAAAACCGAUUUCAAACUUUAUGGGGUUAUUUUAUUGGUGGAGUGAUUUUCGUUUCAUUUGUGGAGCCUAUAAAAAGGCCACAGGGUUAUUGAUGACUCAAAUCAUAGGCAAAUUAUUAGUAGUCAUAUGAAUUUACCAACAAAUUCAUUUGUACUACUUUGGGACCUAUUUCAACCUAUUUUCAGAGGGCUCACAAGAUUUAUAAACAUAAAGGAUGUAAUUCUAAAGUGGCACAACUUCUCCAGAAAAGAACACAGAGGACACGUCUCCAGCUCCUACUGUGUAGCAGUGACUAUUAAAGGCUGGCUCUCUAGGCUUCACAUCUUCUUUGGGACCGAAGCAGACAAGGGGACACUGCCUAUGUUCUGUAACAGGUCACUUAUGCUCAAUAUCAAACUUUGGUUCACAGAAUUAAUGGUGGAAGUUGUAGCUACCUUUAUCCUGGGUAAGAUAAGAAGUUAUGUUCCUGCAUUGUUCGUGACAUGGCCGGACAACCAAUGGAAAUUCCUGGGUUGUUUCAAAAAGAUGUGCCAGUUUAUGGUGAAGAAGACCCUUAUUUAUGUCCUGAGUUCUCUUGCGUCCAUUAUACACAAUCUAAUUGUUGGAGAAGUCUUCAUCAAUAAGCUAUAUUACUUUCUACACAAAAAGAUGGUUUCUGAACCCACAGCUGUGGUUGUCGUUUAGCUACUCUUACACCUACUCACCCUGCAGUCGUUGGGGGGAUACUUGGCACCCGGAGGAGAGCAAAGGACUUUCCUCGCUUAUCUACUGCCACUGGAGGCUUGUGUGCACGCUCGGCUCUCUCCCCGAGCCUGGCCCAUUCUGUCCUCUCACAAGGAACACUGGCUCACAACUGUGAGUGGAAACAUUGAUAUUGAAACCCUAAUGCUCAGCAGCCUGACAGGGCGGCCGGAGACCAAUGUGCAAGUUGGUCUGAUCCGCCUCCGCGUCUGAUGUCACAUGAACUUGCAGCCCGUACCAACCGACACACAGCUCCGUUCUGCCACAGUUGUCACAAGGAAGCUUAUUUCGCUGAACUCCACCCAGUGACACCGUCUCUAUGUGGCAAAGCCAGUUAUUUAUGCUGCAUCGAUCCUAAUCCUUUCAGAAGAACUUCUACAACCUAUGGUGUUACCUUCAUCAAUUGAGCCCCUCACCCCCUCAGCCCCCAGAGCACAUUUGGUUCUUCUUGAAUCUGUGUCUCCUUGAUUUCUUUUUUUCUUUUCAAGAUUUUAUUUUUUCAUCAGAGACACACACACAGAGAGAGAGAGAGAGAGAGAGAGUCAAAGACACAGGCAGAGGGAGAAGCAGGCUCCAUGCAGGGAGCCCGACGUGGGACUUGAUCCCGUGUCUCUAGGAUUAGGCCCUGGGCUGAGGCAGUGCUAAACCGCUGAGCUACCCGGGCUGCCCCUUUGAUUUCAGUACAGUUUUUUUUGUUUUGUUUUUUUGUGUGUGUGUUUGUCUUUGCAGCCUCAACUCUGUCCUGUUUCACAUACUGAGCAAAUAAAGUUCCUUUCAGGCAAUGGCA